rnacentral:piRNA from 1 species
AACACAGUGAAGCUUUAAAGGUCGACAA